rnacentral:rRNA from 1 species
AACGAACGCUGGCGGCAUGCCUAACACAUGCAAGUCGAACGAAGCCUUCGGGCUUAGUGGCGCACGGGUGCGUCACGCGUGGGAAUCUGCCCCUUGCUUCGGAAUAACAGUUAGAAAUGACUGCUAAUACCGGAUGAAGUCUUCGGACCAAAGAUUUAUCGGCAAGGGAUGAGCCCGCGUAGGAUUAGGUAGUUGGUGGGGUAAAGGCCUACCAAGCCGACGAUCCUUAGCUGGUCUGAGAGGAUGAUCAGCCACACUGGGACUGAGACACGGCCCAGACUCGUACGGGAGGCAGCAGUGGGGAAUAUUGGACAAUGGACGAAAGUCUGAUCCAGCAAUGCCGCGUGAGUGAUGAAGGCCUUAGGGAUGUAAAGCUCUUUUACCAGGGAUGAUAAUGACAGUACCUGGAGAAUAAGCUCCGGCUAACUCCGUG